rnacentral:rRNA from 1 species
AGCGAACGCUGGCGGCAGGCCUAACACAUGCAAGUCGAGCGCCCCGCAAGGGGAGCGGCAGACGGGAGAGUAACACGUGGGAACGUACCCUUCAGUACGGAACAACCAAGGGAAACUUUGGCUAAUACCGUAUACGUCCGUAAGGGGAAAGAUUUAUCGCUGAAGGAUCGGCCCGCGUCUGAUUAGCUAGUUGGUGAGGUAACGGCUCACCAAGGCGACGAUCAGUAGCUGGUCUGAGAGGAUGAUCAGCCUCACUGGGACUGAGACACGGCCCAGACUCCUACGGGAGGCAGCAGUGGGGAAUAUUGGACAAUGGGCGCAAGCCUGAUCCAGCCAUGCCGCGUGGGUGAUGAAGGCCCUAGGGUUGUAAAGCCCUUUCGGCGGGGAAGAUAAUGACGGUACCCGCAGAAGAAGCCCCGGCUGACUUCGUGCCAGCAGCCGCGGUAAUAC